rnacentral:lncRNA from 1 species
ACAGAACUAAAAAUUCAGUUCAAUACUAAGCAAAUACUAGAACUUGGUCAUACUUCUACUUCCCAAAGCGCUCCCUCAAGUUGUAUUACAUACUAUUCUAAGUGACAAGGUGCUAAGUGAAGUUAUUCACAGACACAAUGGUUGUACAGUACUUUUUCAAUUUGCAAUUUAGGUUUCAGGUUCUUCCAUGAAGAAUUAACUGCACAGAAAUUCUAUAAAUUAUAUUUAACAAUUUAGCCAUGAGGGUUUACAACAAAGAGACAAAUGCUGCCAUCCAAAUUAUUAAUUAUAGUUUAACAAUAAUCUCAACACCAGCAGCCACUGUAGAUACUAUGUCUCAUUUGUAGUCUCCUUUUCUUUAUGGUUCAUGAACUCAUCAGGGGCUCAGGAAACAAUGUUUAGACAGCACAUGUCAACUUUAAAAAUUCUCACACAGGACAACUGCAGCAGCUAUUCCAAAUGCCUGUUUUAAAUUAAAGCACUCAUUAAAAAAAAUUAAUACCUGGGAACUUUAAGUAAAAUUCUACUACUGACUUUGUAAGUGUGAAAUUUUAAGAAUGGGUAUUUUAAAAAUCUGGUUUGCCUUCUCUUCUCCAGAAGAGAAAAGGAGACUGACUAUAAACUACAUCAACACUUAAGUGAACUGCACUAUGCCCUUCUGGCUAGAAAGUUACCUCUUUUUUUUUCUCCUAAAAGGAAGGCCAUUUCUUUUCUUUCUUUUCAUUCUUUUCCUAACAUCCAAAGCUUGAUUUAUAAGAACUACAAACAACACUAUUUUUGGAAGUUUAUAGAAAAAUUCUUAGAAAAAAUAACUUCAGACAUUAGUCACACUGUUGAAAUAGUCAGCCAAUAUGAACAAUCUGGUCUUUAGUAAAAAAUAGACUUCUUCGUAGCAAAUGCCCCAGAGUUGCCUCCCUCCGUGACAACAGCCAUUAAGAGCCAGUUAGCUAAAGCGGCGGGUGCUUUAGCAGCUUUCCUGAACACCUCUCACCCACGUUUCGGGAGCACCAAGUUUGCCAGGGCGGAGGCACAGCCGACCCUAGGUGUACAGAGGGGCGGAGAAAACCCAGCCCGACGCCGCGCUCGAGAGGUCACAGGUGCCCGACUGCAGGCACAGGGAGGCUUUGUCCUCUUCCGGGUCACAAGGCGCAGAGCUGUAGCCACCGGUGUACCCAGACUGAGGUUUUGGACUUGAAUGGUUUAAGAAGCACCAAGCAGAUCUAUAGAGCACUCUUCUGGAUGUGUCUGGAUGUAUCAUGGGGUGUGACUUUGGGAAUUAUAUUUGGUCCGUGGUCCCUUCCUUUCUGACAAUCUUCUCCUGUGCUCUGCAUCCCGGCUGGCAUGAAGAAAGCAGCUUUGCUCUACCAUACAUUUCCACUGUGAUGUUCCUGCCUUGGAGCCAGCUGACCAUGGACUAAACCUCUGAAACUGUAAGCCACAAUAAACCUCUCCUCCAUUAAGUUUCAAGUAUCGGGUAUUUUAUCCCAGCAACAGGAAAGCUAAUACAUUCUUAAUUCCCUCAAACAUUACCCACCACACACACACACAAAAGAACCAUACUAAAGCAAAGCUAGACAUAUCUAUGCAUAACAUAAUCCCCUGCUGACUAGCCCACAGAGUUGGUCAUGUGGGAUAGACCUUCAGUUCCAUGAUACACAUUCCUUCUGCAUGCCAAAAAAAUAUAUAAAGAGGUAAACUCAAGGGACAGAUAACUUGGAAAAAAAUAAAGAGUAUCA